AUGGUGGACACUCCCCGUAGUUCCGCCGACGGCAGCGGACGAGGAAAGGGCGGCAGGAAGCGCGCGCCAUCGUCGCCACCGCCGCAGCCCCCGUCCCCCGCCUCCCCCAUCAAGCGCUCCAAGGCGGGCGCGACGGGGAAGGGGAAGGAGAAGGCGGAGGCGGACAAACCCCAGGAGAAGGCGCCCGUCGCCGCGGCGGCGGCGGCGGAGAAGGCGACGACGAGCUCGAGGCAUGCUGUGGAGGAGGAGGUGUGCAAGGCGCUCGCGUCAUUGGCCGCGCAGGACAGGCUGGCUGCGGCGGCGACGGGGUCGCAAGCGAGGCAGCCGCCGAACCCGGGGCCGUGGGCGAGGCUGCUGUCGCAGUUCUCGGAGACUCCUCAUCUCACCAUCAGUAACCGUCUAUGUGCUAUCGGUUUCAAUAGCGUGACUCUAUGCAUGUUGCGGCACCUUGAGGAAUCGGGCCAGUGUCUAUUAGAAGUCACAGGAGAACCGGGGUGGGUUCAAGUAAAUCGUAGGAACAUCAUCAAGGGCACCACAACUCCCCUUGCCGAUGGGGAUGAAGUUAUCAUUUCACAUUACAAGAAUGCCUACAUUUUCCAGUAUCUUUUAAAUGGCAAUGAAGCGCCGAUCUCUGUAUCAGCUGGAGAGAAUAACCAGAGGGUAUCUCAAACUUUUACGGAUGGAUUAAAACGAGGAAUUCUUUGUCCAGAUGCUAUUCAAGUUACUCUUGAGAAUUUCCCCUACUAUCUUAGUGAGAAUACAAAGAGCAAACUCUUGACAACUGCAUCCAUACACAUGGAACACAGGGGGAAAAGGUUCAUCAGAAGUUUAUGGGGAAUUUCGUCUCUAAACCAGCGAAUUAUGUUAUCUAGUUCAUCUGGGACCGAAAUUUAUCAGGAAACAAUUGUAAAGGCCCUUGCAAAGAAGUUUGGUGCCAGACUUCUCAUUGUUGAUUCUCUUCUGCUUCCUUCUAUGUACCAAGGUUCCAGAAUCGCCCAAUGGUGUAACUUUUGGAAAAGGUUUUGGUACCCUUUUUUUAUAUUGUUUAUCAGCUUAAAUGUUACCAUAAUCUUUACUGAAGCCUUUAUAUAUACUCUUUGUUGUGCAGGGAGUAGGGUAAAGUAUAUUGGCCCAAUUACAAAACCUCCCUUUCACACAUUUAUGCACAGGGGGCCAACUAAUGGUUAUCGGGGCAGAGUGAUGCUUGCCUUCGAAAACAAUGUCGGUAGUUUCCGUAAAGUUGGAGUUAGAUUUGACAAGCCGAUUCCGGGUGGUAAUGAUCUUGGGGGUUUGUGCGACAAAGAUCAUGGCUUCUUUUGCCCUGUUAAUGAACUUCUCCCAAGCUCUUCUAGUGAUAAACAAUUUGGUAUAGACGAGUUAAAUCAGGUCAUUUCGGAAGAAAGCAAAAGUAGCACUUUGAUUGUGUUCGUUAAGGAUUUAGAGAGAACGCUGACCAGAAGUCCAGAAUCACAUGAAUCACUAGGGAAGGAACUUCCACCUGGUGUUCUAAUAAUUGCUUCUUACACUUGGGCAACCAGCCAGAUAGAUAAGUCACCUCCAAAAGGAUUAUCUUUUCCGGCGCUUGGUAAUGACGCCCAGGCCCUUAUUAACUCUUUAUUGGGCUCUUCUGGAAGUAAAUUGCAAGAAAGAAACAAUGAUUACUCAAUAAAGCAUCUAACUAAGCUUUUCCCUAACAGAAUUUACAUUGAACCUCCGAAGGACAAAGCACAGCUAUCAUAUUUGAACCAACAAAUAAGACUUGAUGCCGAAAGCCUUAGAGCUAAAGCCAAUGUUCUUAGUAUUCGCAAGUUUCUGACCCAAUGUGAAAUUGAAUGCCACGAUGUUGAAGAAUUACCAAUUACGGACCGACUACUGACUCAUGACGAUGUGGAUAAGGUUAUUGGUUAUGGGAUUUCUUAUCACCUUGAGCACGAUAAACCCAAUAUGGAUGCCAAACCUGUACUUUCAACAGAAAGUCUGAAGCACGGACUCGAACGUAUACAGAGCGAGAGCAUGGCCAGUAGUAGCUCAAAGAAAGCACUGAAGGACGUGGUCACAGAGAAUGAGUUUGAGAGAAGCCUUCUGUCGAAUGUUAUUGCACCCCAUGAAAUUGGAGUAACCUUUGACGAUAUCGGAGCCCUGGAGUGUGUAAAAGACACGUUAAAGGAAUUGAUUAUAACUCCUCUAAAAAGACCUGAAUUGUUCAGCAAAGGGCAGCUAUUAAAGCCUGCGAAGGGAAUAUUGCUCUUUGGACCUCCCGGCACCGGUAAAACAAUGCUCGCAAAAGCAGUAGCCACAGAAUCAGGUGCAAGCUUUAUGAACGUAUCCAUGUCAAGCAUCACGCCAAAGUGGUUUGGGGAAGGAGAGAAAUAUGUAAAGGCCAUUUUCUCUUUGGCAAGUAAACUAUCUCCUGCUGUAAUAUUCCUUGAUGAGGUUGACAGCAUGCUAGGAAAGAGACAAAAUCGAGAAGAGCCAGAAACCACGCGAAGGAUGAAAAAUGAAUUUAUGGUGAAUUGGGAGGGGUUGCUUACUAAAGAUGACGAACGUGUAGUGGUUCUUGCAGCCACCAACAGGCCCUAUGAUCUUGAUGAGGCGGUCAUUAGAAGGUUACCUCGCAGAUUAAUGGUGAACCUUCCUAAUGCGCCGAAUAGAGAGAGGAUUUUGAAGCUGAUACUGUCCAAAGAAGCGUUGGCAGAAGAUGUGAGUCUUGAGUCAGUUGCCAAUAUGACUGAUGGAUAUUCAGGAAGUGACUUGAAGAAUCUCUGUGUAACAGCAGCAGGGCGGCCCAUUCGCGAUCUCCUAGAGAGAGAAAUAAAGGAGAAGAGUGUAGCGAUUGCCGAAGGUAGGCCUGAGCCUGCACUGCUUACAGCUGACGACAUCCGGCCUCUUAGAAUGGACGAUUUCAAAUCGGCCCAUGAUCAGGUGUGCGCUAGCGUGCCAGUUGACUCCGAAAACAUGAGGGAACUUAUUCGGUGGCACGACCAGUAUGGCGACGGCGGAUCAAGGAGCAAAAGCAAAGAACAGGCCAGCAGCUACUACAUGUAG
rnacentral:rRNA from 1 species